rnacentral:lncRNA from 1 species
GGUUUAUAGUCUGUCGAUCGAAGACGCAAUUUGCUCGAGUAAAUCGAGUCUUUGUAAACGUACGACGAAAAUGGUUUAUCAAAGUAAACGAGAAAGAAAGAUUCUCAGUGACAAGCGGAAAGCGCACGCUAGUUAUCCCGCUCUGGUGUAUCCUCGUAAAUCUAAAGUGCGCACGACUAUGACGACUAUGACGACUAUGACGAGUAUGACGAGUGUAACGACUACGAUGACAACAGAGAUUGGAAGAAGG